rnacentral:lncRNA from 1 species
UUUUUUAUUUUCAAAUUUCUGAAUUAUCUUAACCUCUAAUCUCUAAUCACCACCCCUCAUCACUGCUCACCGGUUCUUGUGGCUGACCGGGACUAAAGGCCCGCCACGUGGGCGCCCGUGGUCCGUCGGGGCCGAGGACCUUUAGUCAAUUUUUUUUUAUUUUCAAAUUUCUGAAUUAUCUUAACCUCUAAUCUCUAAUCACCACCCCUCAUCACUGCUCAAUUUAUCCUCUAAUCUCUAAUCACCCCUCAUCAUUCCAAAUCAUCUAACUUCCCGAACGGUCACCCAUCCUCCCACUCCCCCAGCCUGAGCACGCUUAACUUCCGGGUUCUAUUCUCCCUCGUUUCCAAGUCUGCACUUGUUGUUUUCCUGACAAUAGUAGGAUGUCAAUUCUAUUAACCCUCAGGUAUUUAGCUUGAGCAUGAAGUGACACAUUUCACUGUUUGAGUUUGAAACUAUUAUUUUAAAAAACAGUAAUUAUUUAGUAACACUAAUAUUUCUGGAAUAAUUAGUUUGACCAUUUUUUGACCACAGUUUGACCACAGUUUGACCAGAUUUGACCAAAAUUUAAAAAAACUGGAAUAAUUAUUUAGUAACACUAAUGUUCUAGAAUAAUUAGUUUGACCAUUGUUUGACCACAGUUUGACCACAAUUUGAAAUUUUUUGAAUUUUUUUGCCUCUCCAGAACUUAAAAGCCCCGUAUCUUUUUUUCUGUUAGGUUUUUGGGGAUUCUAAAAAUGUUUAACGGGGUUCCCCCAGUUAAAUUCGGAUGUAACUUUUCGAAUAGAUGAUUUUUCAUAUAAAAAACUUUUUCAUCCGAGUUAGUAUGCAAAAGUUAUGCCCAUUUU